rnacentral:rRNA from 1 species
AACGAACGCUGGCGGCAGGCUUGACACAUGCAAGUCGAACGCAUCCUUCGGGGUGAGUGGCAGACGGGUGAGUAACGCGUGGGAACGUGCCCUUCAGUUCGGAAUAACCCAGGGAAACUUGGGCUAAUACCGGAUACGUGCGAGAGCAGAAAGAUUUAUCGCUGAAGGAUCGGCCCGCGUCUGAUUAGCUAGUUGGUGAGGUAAUGGCUCACCAAGGCGACGAUCAGUAGCUGGUCUGAGAGGAUGAUCAGCCACAUUGGGACUGAGACACGGCCCAAACCCCUACGGGAGGCAGCAGUGGGAAAUAUUGGACAAUGGGCGCAAGCCUGAUCCAGCCAUGCCGCGUGGGUGAUGAAGGCCUUAGGGUUGUAAAGCUCUUUCAGUGGGGACGAUAAUGACGGUACCCGCAGAAGAAGCCCCGGCUAACUUCGUGCCAGCCGCCGCAGUAA